rnacentral:rRNA from 1 species
UAGGGAAUUUUGCGCAAUGGGCGAAAGCCUGACGCAGCAACACCGCGUGAAGGAUGAAGCCCUUUGGGGUGUAAACUUCUGUCAGUGGGGAAGAAAUUUUGACGGUACCCACAGAGGAAGCAUCGGCUAACUACGUGCC